rnacentral:lncRNA from 1 species
UGAUGCCCCCAUUCUGGAAUACAGGGGGUAGCAAGUGCUGAGCAAGGGCAGGGUAGCCACAGAAGGACUCUGCAGACCUCCAGUGCAACCAGCUGCAGAGUUUCAGAGGUGACAGCACCAAAGCUGAGACUGCGGUAAAGCUAUCCCACACAGACCGGGAAGGGAUGUACUGUCCCCUCAGAGUCAAGCCAGGCAAGAAAGUAAGUAAGAUUCCAGGGACAGUUCUGAAGCAGGUCCCUCUCCAGUGCACGUGCUUUGCUGGGUUCCUGUGAGAGUAGGAUUGGUGCAUCAAGUCGGACUUUGAAACAUACGAGUCACCAUAUGGGUGAAGCAACUGUUUGGAGAGAGGGCUACAGGAAGGAAGUUAGGUCCCUGGCGGACCUGGAAGAUGCUGUGUCUUUGAAGGGGAUAGUGGGAUACCAGCACCCCCACUCCUCUGUUUCCAGGCCAGUGUAAGAAAAGGAGAGAUGACAGAGAAUGAAGAUCAAGAAGAGAGCGGAUAGCCAGAAAAGUGGCAAGAGAUUCCAGCGUGUUGGAGACCGCUGCAUCAUCUGGAGAAGUGGCACCUACGUGUAUUUUAAAAGAUGAUGCUUAGCCAGGCAUGGUGGCCCAGGUCUGUGAUCCCAGUACACAUGAGGCCAAAUAAGGCGAGAGGAUCAUUACAAGUUCAAGCUCAGCCUAGGCUAUGCAUAGUAAGUUCUGGGCUCGCCUGAGCUAUGCA